rnacentral:rRNA from 1 species
AGUGAACGCUGGCGGUAGGCCUAACACAUGCAAGUCGAACGGCAGCACAGUAAGAGCUUGCUCUUACGGGUGGCGAGUGGCGGACGGGUGAGGAAUACAUCGGAAUCUACUUUUUCGUGGGGGAUAACGUAGGGAAACUUACGCUAAUACCGCAUACGACCUACGGGUGAAAGCAGGGGAUCUUCGGACCUUGCGCGAUUGAAUGAGCCGAUGUCGGAUUAGCUAGUUGGCGGGGUAAAGGCCCACCAAGGCGACGAUCCGUAGCUGGUAUGAGAGGAUGAUCAGCCACACUGGGACUGAGACACGGUCCAGACUCCUACGGGAGGCAGCAGUGGGGAAUAUUGGACAAUGGGCGCAAGCCUGAUCCAGCCAUACCGCGUGGGUGAAGAAGGCCUUCGGGUUGUAAAGCCCUUUUGUUGGGAAAGAAAAGCAGCAGGUUAAUACCCCGCUGUUCUGACGGUACCCAAAGAAUAAGCACCGGCUAACUUCGUG